AAUCUACCUAGUAGAAGGGGAUAGCCCGAGGAAACUCGGAUUAAUACCGUAUACGUCCUUAGGGAGAAAGAGGGCUUAGCUUUGAUGCUCUCGCUAUUAGAUGAGCCUGCGUAAGAUUAGCUUGUUGGUGAGGUAAAGGCUCACCAAGGCGACGAUCUUUAGCUGGUCUGAGAGGACGAUCAGCCACAUUGGGACUGAGACACGGCCCAGACUCCUACGGGAGGCAGCAGUGGGGAAUAUUGGACAAUGGGCGCAAGCCUGAUCCAGCCAUACCGCGUGUGUGAAGAAGGCCUUCGGGUUGUAAAGCACUUUAAGUAAGGAAGAAAAGAAUAUUGUUAAUACCAAUACUCCGUGACAUUACUUACAGAAUAAGGACCGGCUAAUUCCGUGCCAGCAGCCGCGGUAAUACGGAAGGUCCAAGCGU
rnacentral:rRNA from 1 species